CCUACGGGCGGCAGCAGUGAGGAAUAUUGGUCAAUGGACGAGAGUCUGAACCAGCCAAGCAGCGUGAAGGAUGACUGCCCUAUGGGUUGUAAACUUCUUUUAUAUGGGAAUAAAAUGUUCCACGUGUGGGAUUUUGUAUGUACCAUAUGAAUAAGGAUCGGCUAACUCCGUGCCAGCAGCCGCGGUAAUACGGAGGAUCCGAGCGUUAUCCGGAUUUAUUGGGUUUAAAGGGAGCGUAGGUGGAUUGUUAAGUCAGUUGUGAAAGUUUGCGGCUCAACCGUAAAAUUGCAGUUGAAACUGGCAGUCUGGAGUACAGUAGAGGUGGGCGGAAUUCGUGGUGUAGCGGUGAAAUGCUUAGAUAUCACGAAGAACUCCGAUUGCGAAGACAGCUCACUGGACUGCAACUGACACUGAGGCUCGAAAGUGUGGGUAUCAAACAGGAUUAGAUACCCGAGUAGUC
rnacentral:rRNA from 1 species